CUUGAGUCUCAUCGUAUGCGACGGUCCGCCAACUCUUGAAGUUUCAGGUCUAGUUUGGAUCACAAGCAUUGAGGUCCGUUCCUGUAGUUAUCUCAAAAGAGUUAAUAUACAUGCACGGAAUCUCCGCAAUUUCUCGUUUUCUGGCACUAGAUUUUCAGAGAUCAGGCCUGAGAUUACUUUAGCUGCUUGUGACAAGAGUUUGGAGCAACUACAAUUGAGCGAGAUCGAAUUUCCAAAUAAGUAUUGGCUUCAAACUAUGGUUUCUAGGUUUGUUUCCCUCGAGAAUUUGGAUCUCCACUCCCUUCAUAAUGCUAACAAUGAAGCUAUAAAGAUUUGUAGCCCAAGCCUGCGUAAAUUAGUCAUCAGAUAUUGCAAAGGCUUCAACGAGGACACCGUGAUUGAUGCUCCAAACUUGCGUUUUGCAGAGUUCAUGGACAAUGAAUACCCUUUAUUUUCUCUGCCCAGAUCAAAUAAUUUAUUGCGUGUGCAAUUCUCUUGUUCACACCGUCAAAUCCAACCUGUUAAUGCUCAUUGGUUGCACAUAUUGGAGAAAUUAUUUGCCAAAACCAAUCAAUAUCGUAAAGAUGUGAGAAUGGCUGUUCAAUGCGAGCCCGAGGCCAAGCAGAAUAUUUUGAUCUUCCAUAAGGAUUUCAGUUAUUCACUGCUAUGCAAUAUAAUUACACAACCUUAAGGAUGUGAAUAAGAACUUUAUAUUUGACAUUAGUAAGUCACCGUUGAGCGUUAAAGAUGCGGUCGGACGCAUAUUUAUUCGCCGGCAUACUAUUUAUAUAGCAUCAUCAUCUGAUCACGACUCCAAAUUUAUUAAGGACUUUUCUGAGAAUGUACAAAGAUGGAGAAGGAGUGUGAGGUGCUGCCGAUUAAAUCGUCAAAAAUGUUGGAAGCACAAGGUGAAGCGUGCGUUGAAGAACAUGGAAAUUGAGAGUCUAAAUUUGGAACAAGACAUUAAUAAUAUUAGAGUUAGAGGGCAGAGUAGUUUCAUGAAUGCUCUUUUACAACCAUAUCAAGCAUUAUCAUACAAGCUCGUUAGAAUUAACUACAGUAACAAAGCUAAGCCCUCUUAAUUGCAUUGCUGGGAUUAAUCUUGGAUUGGCAGGAUUAGGCCUGAAGUACUGUUACGAAUUAUUAGGAUUAUUAUGUCUAUUUAUUUUUCUUUAUUUAUAAGGAUAAAUUAAUU